AUUGAACGCUGGCGGCAGGCCUAACACAUGCAAGUCGAGCGAGCGGCGGACGGGUGAGUAAUGUAUGGGGAUCUGCCCGAUAGAGGGGGAUAACUACUGGAAACGGUAGCUAAUACCGCAUACUAUUGGAGCGGCCGAUAGCGGAUUAGCUAGUUGGUGGGGUAAUGGCUCACCAAGGCGACGAUCCCUAGCUGGUCUGAGAGGAUGAUCAGCAACACUGGGACUGAGACACGGCCCAGACUCCUACGGGAGGCAGCAGUGGGGAAUAUUGCACAAUGGGCGCAAGCCUGAUGCAGCCAUGCCGCGUGUAUGAAGAAGGCCUUAGGGUUGUAAAGUACUUUCAGCGGGGAGGCGUUACCCGCAGAAGAAGCACCGGCUAACUCCGUGCCAGCAGCCGCGGUAAUUC
rnacentral:rRNA from 1 species